UGUAUAUCGCGGGAGGACCUGUGUGCGUCCACACCCAGAUGGGCAUAUUCGUUUACGAUAAGGACACCUUUCGGAUUGUGACAUAGUAGUGGGAGUUUGUGGCUGUCGAUUGCUAUCAGUGAUCUUUAUUCUCGUGAACUGGCUGUGUCUGAAAUAUUUAUUUUCCUAAACUUUUCUUAAAACGUUAUUUGACUGCACUUAGCAUUGUCCACUAGAUAUCAGCAAUAGAUCUUUUUCUAAAGUGUUCAAGAUGUCGACUGGAAAGCGUUUAGCAAAGCGGUCCAUCCUGGGUACGCGCGUUGCCUGCUGUCUGGAUGAUGGAAAAUAUUACUCGGGAGUUAUAUGUGCGGUAAAGACUGUCAACGAAGGAGGUCCUCCAGUGUACUCUGUGAGGGUGGAGGGCGAGAGGCGUGCCAGGGAAGUUCGUGAGGGCGACCUGGUAGGCAGUGGCUUCACACCCGUUGGCUCUGUGAAGCUUCGCUCUGGGCAGAAAGUAUACAUAACUCACAAUAAUCGUGAAGUGUCGGGCAGUGUCCUCUACCACAGACCGAACAUCGACGAGGUCCUCAUCUCCGUCAUCAGCCCAGAGAGCGGCGUGAAGCAGGACGUGAAGAAGCGCAUCGAGGACAUCCGGCUGCUGGAGUCGAGGAAGUCGGCGCGCCUGGCCGACCAGGACACCGACUUCGCCAAGCUGGCCGACAUGUCCACCGACAGGAAGGACCGAAAGCCCUCGCAGACCAUCGACGUGCCCGCGCCCUCGGGGUUCCAGGGGUCGAGGAAGAGGCGCAGCUCGCGCUCGGAGGAGGAGCAGAUGGACGAGUGCGCAGCCGCCAUGGUCCUCAUGAAGCUGUCGUGCUCCCCGCGCUCGCCCGUCAUGCACGAUGGUCUGGUGAGCGAGUCCAUGUCCCCGGGGUCGUCCGUCUCGUCGGGCGUGUGGUCGUGGGUCGAUGGCUCCUCGUCGUCCUCGUCCUCGUCGUCGUCGUCGUCGUCCCGCUCGCCCGCCCACCGCUCCGCCACGCCCUCGCCGCCCCUGUCCGAAUCCUCGCCGCCCGCCACCGACGACGGCCUCGAGCUCGACGAUUCCCUCUUCGACGACGCUGUCCCCAGGAAGCGCAGGAGCUCCACCCGCACCAUGUUCAAGUGCACGUGGGCCGGCUGCCAGGAGAUGACAUCCGCCUGCGAUGCCAUUGAGAGACACAUCCGCGCCAUCCACCUCGGGCGCGAGGAGGUGAGCAGCGAGCACAGCGACAGCGACAGCGACGACGAGGACGACCACGAGGAGGAGUUCUACUGGCGCGAGGUGGAGGUCAACGUGGCCACGUGGGUGGACCCCUGCGAGCCCCUGGUGGCGCCCGUGGUGCCCCCGCCCACCCCGCCUGCGCCCCCUGCCAUGACCGUGACCGUGGCACCAUCGCCGCCCACACCCCCGGCUGCCGUCGCCCAGCCCUUGGGCGUGGGCAUCCCGCCCGGCCCCAUCCAGCCGUCCCACCCACAGUACAUCCACGUGUCGUCGCCGCCCACGCUCAGCCACAUGGACAUGGCGCGCCCGCCCCACGAAGACCCCGAGUACAGACGCCAGGCCGCCCCCAUGCCCCUCUCCAGCUCAUGGCCGCGCACCUCCACGUUCAUGGGUUCCGGACGUGGGAAGAUCCGCGUGAGUUCCUCGCCGAAGGCCUCCCCAGGCCGAGGCAAGAGGAACGGGGAGAGCCGCAAGUGCCGCAAGGUGUACGGCAUGGAGCAGCGAGACCUCUGGUGCACACAGUGCAAGUGGAAAAAGGCGUGCAGUCGUUUCGGGGAGUGAGCCUCCGCGGGAUGUGUACAAAAUGAGUGUGUGCUUAGCUGUGUAGCCUAGAGAGAAGGUGGAGAAAAGAGAAAGAGAAAGAGAGAGAGAGAAGGGGAAAUAUCUUCACUAGAGUCCACAGCUGAAUGAGCAAUUCAGUUCGGGAUAAACAUUUACUAGUGAUUUCCUCGACCGCUGGUUGUGAGGAAAGUGCUUGACACUUGUGGUAGACAGAAAUACUCCUUGCACUUUCAUAACAGAGAGGAAACAAUUUAUGUGUAAGCAUUUCCUUGCAGUCUGAGCAGUCUUACAUACAUAAGUGUAGAAGUAAGAUCACAAAAUAAAGAUGUCAUGAAUGUAGAUUACAAUCUCAUCAUAGGGAAGUCAACCAUUGGAAGCCAGAGAAAAGGGAAGCACAAGAGAGCAGGCUGAACGGCAGGCUCUCCGGGUGCCGCUCGCUCCUUCCGGGAGGAGACGCAGCAAGGGGCCAGCGUUGGUUGCAGGAGCCUCUCCUCUCCUCGGCCGCUCGGUGUUGUGGAUCGCUGUUAGUUGGUAAUGGCAUCUCCAAGGCCUGGUGAAGUGUGAUUUGAUGAGGGCAGAUUUUUAUCACGUUCUUGUGAUAUCUCAAAAGGUGUGUGUAUAUACUUUGUAUGUAUGUCUAUAUUUAUACAUGAAUUUACAUGUAUGUGUGCAUACAUGUACAUCUACAUAAAUAUAUAUACAUUCACAUACAAAUGCAUUUACAUAUAUCUGCUUAUACUUAUAUGUAAAUGCGUUUGCAUCUGUGUGUAUGUACAUAUGUGCGUGCGUGUGCGUGCACUCACACACACACACACGCACACAUGCACGCGUGCACACACACACACACACACACACACACACACACACACACACACACACACACACACACACACACACACACACACACACACACACACACACACACACAUUUAUAUAUAUACACACAUACAUACACACAUACAUAUACAUACAUAUAUAUAUAUAUACACAUACAUACAUACACACAUCUUGUUAAAAAGUUUCAGAAGGUAGAACAUUUUACUACAGAAGUGCUUGAGAUAUUUUUAGAAGGCUUCCAAAAAAUCACAUGGAAAUACAUUGCAAUAACCAAAUCAAGAUCCAGAGCUGGAUUUUGUCAAUGAUGCAAAAACUACUUUCAAACUUUUUCCUAUUGCAGUGUAUUAUAAACAUUAAGUCGAUGGACAUCCAUUGUAUUAUAAUGUGUUUUAGCCAGGGAGAUGUUGUGGAUAGGGAAGCCAUAGGUGAUAAGCUCAUAUAGACUUUCAUGAUAUUUUUAUCCACAAUUUAUACAUUUUUGAUAAGAGCUUUGUAUGAGCAUGAGUGAAGCAAUACUUUUUUCAAGAGGACGAACAUGUCACCUAUGCUUCCAUAUCCUGUUACUACUUGUAAGUUUUAUUUUCAGGUGUAAAGUGUCUGACAAGCAUGAAAUGCAAGCACUUGAAAUGUACAAAAAGAAUCAAGAUAAUUUUAUGAUGCUCAUCCCUCUGUGCAACUAUGAAUUACUGCUGGCAGAAGGCUGGAGAGAGCGCCUUGCAUGCAACCCAAACCGCAUCAGUCAUAUUGAUCAAUGCUAACACUCUCAUGAUAGGGAGAGAAUAUUUGGGGCUUUUAUAAUGAGUCACUGCUGUCAAAGUCUUGAAGUACUUACAUUAUUAAGAGUUUUGUUUUUAGAAAGGUUGCAAAUAUGAGUUUAAGACUUCCAUUGUGGAAGUCUUGCAGAAAGACCCAUGCAAAUCUAUCUAUGCCAGACAUUCAGUCAAAUGUGCUCAAACGUGAUGAUAGCAUAUACCUUUUUUUAAACAAUAGGAACACCAAACUGGAACACAGUGAGGAAAUUCAGGUUCAGAAUUUCAGCCCAGUUUAUUUGAGAGGUUUAGUUGAUAUCAAGGACUUCAUGCUGUUAUAUCUGUUCUCUUCAUUUUGAGUCCGAACAUGCAAGGGCACUUGUAGUAAGCAUCUGUGAACAUACUUAUUUUGCUCCAGGAGAGCAUGUUGCAAGAAGAAUAUUUAUUUUUAAUAUUUUUGUACUAUAUCGCACGAGCCGGAUAUUCUGUACCCAGUCAUGGCUUGCGUACUUACCCACCCCCAAAGCCCUCUUAGAAUGUGGAACGGUGCAAAGACGCCGAGGGGAAGUGAUGACCCCAAUAAAUCCACCAGGUGAAGCGAACUCUCCGGCCUCCUCCACCAGCCCACUCACUUCUUAGGAAGUUUACUGCAGCAGAGAAUCAACUUCAUUUUAUUGAAUUUUUUUUUUAUUAAUAUUAUUUUUUUUAAUGUGUAGUGUUACCAACUUUUCUUAGGGGAUGUAUGUUGUGUCAAGCAGAAUAAUGAAGAGAUCACUGUAUAUGUCCUAUGGCACUAUGUCCGUGAGGUGAGGAUGAGCGAAAAGGGAGCCUUAAAGAGUCACAGAACCCACAGAGAUUAAAAGGGGAUAUAAUGUAUAAAAUGAUGUUGAUAUUCAAGCUUAAGGUGAUUAUGAGAUGUCUUCAUCAUGUUCUGAAAGCUUCCAGAAAAAGUUGAUUUGCAGUAAAGUGCAGGAAAGGAUGAGGAAAGCAAUUUAAAAGCAACUUUUUUUUUCUCCCCCAGUAAGAAGGAAGUUAACAGUAAAGACCUCUCGUGAUCAUUCAACUAAUCACUUAUCUUUUUUCCCAUCCUUCAGUCCACAUUUUUAUCCAUGUUGUUGAGGAUGAUUUCAAGAGUCGUUUGGGACCAGAUGAUAAGCAAGCGUUGGCAGGGGAACCUAGAAAUAUUUUAAGAAUGGUUUGGAAAGUAUUCUUCUGGCCACCUUUCAUGCGGAUGGGAGAAUGAAAACUAGAAUUCCAUAUUUCUUUUUAUUCUUUUAUUUCAAUAUGUUGAAAUUGGAAUGUAUGUCUAGGCUUUAAGAAUACAAGACAAAGUCUUUUAAUUCAUAUGAAACAGACAUGCACAUUCACAUUCACACACACUCUCGUGACAUUUCAGCUUUUGUAAAGUCAAAAAAUAAUGCUAGUGAACUCCUAUUGCAUUACAUUCCAACUUUUAAACAGUUAUUAUGGAUUUUAUUACUACUACUUUUUCAAUAUACAAAACAUUACACAUACUUUUUUUUUUCUUCUUCUUCUUCUAAGUAUGGUUUAUAACUUCAGUCAAAGAAACUAAACCAUUUUUUUAAUUUUCUGAAAGUGUUGGUUUAAGGGUCCAGAGAUGCAUUGUAUGAGUUGACUUGUAUUUACGUUUUCAUGCAGUGGCAAAAGAAACCUUGCAUUUGGGAGAUGGAGCAAGAAAAGACCUCACAUGAAGUGGUAGAGAAAUGUAGAGGUAAAGCACUGUGCUUUAGAGCACAAAGAAGCUGUUCUUGUGCUUUCUGUGUUAGAAAUGUGGUCAGAGUUUAAAAAAAAAAAGACUGCAGUCAGAGGACAGAGCAAUUUAUGUAUUACUCUUGUAAGUAAAGGCAUGCAAGCCAGAAGCUGAGAAUUCUCCACUCCUCAGUGAAGGUGGCCAGACCGUCCUUUGUAAACACCACUGCCAUUUUAUCAUUGUUAUAUAUUUUUUUCCAUAAAGAGUGGCAUUACCAGUAUAUAGCUGUGUUGUGAUGUUUAUACUGAUAUCCAUUUUAUUUUUAUGAUAACCCUUUUUUUUCUUAAUCAUGUAAUAUACUUGUUAAUCUGUAGAAAACAAUAUUGAAGUACACAAUUUGAAUAUCAAGAGGCUAUGAGAACUGCUCAUUACUAAGGGUCUGGUAGAUGGACUAUGCGGGUUGACAAGAACCCUCCCACGAUCUGUCUUUCAUAACUAAUUUUCAUCAUGCAUAGACAUGGACUUAGUUUUUCCAUUCAUAUUGAAUAGCUUGUUUUUUUUUUACUACUACUACUUUAAAUAGAACUAGUAAUGUGACAUUAACUUUAGGAUUCUGAAAUACUGUACCGGGUGCGCACACUUCCUUGGCCAAAUGUGCGCACCAUGCAGCUGCCAGUAACUGUUAAUCCUGGAGUAAUAAUGUGAAACAAUAGCCAUAGUAACAGGGAUAAGAUCAGUCCAGUGUCCACUACCAAAUGAGUGCUUUAAAUAGAUUUUAUAACAAAUGAUCUCUGAUUGCUUAGAGUUAGAUAGUGUAUCAUUUAUGGAGAAUGUACAGACUUUAUUAAUAUAUUCCAUAAAAGCAAAAAAGCUCUCUUCACUUCUGGUGCUAUUGUUGCCAUAAAAUUAAAAAAAAAAAAGAAAGAGGUGUGACUGCAAAACUUUUCCCAUUUCCCCCUCCCCCUUUUUAAAAGAACAAUGGAUGAGAUACACUUUCAAGAGAUAUCAAAAUGUAAGAAGAGGAAAUGGCCUUUGGUUGCACAAAUGUUGAUUUGAGGAAACACGUUUAAUGCUGUUCCUCCCCAUUAGAUUUUAGAAAUAGAAGUAACGACCCGGGAAAUGGUCGUCAUUCCCUUUGUACAUAGGAAGACCUGGGCACAUGCAUAUUUUCUGAGGAUUUUGCCAACCCCAGUCUUAAAGCCUGAAUUCAUUAUAAUCACUUCUUUUAUAUAUAUAUAUAGCUUUAGUGAACAUUAACAAAAUGAGAAAAAAAGAAUGACUUGGAAAAAAAAAAAAGUUUGGUUUCUGUUUUGUUUUUUGUUUUUUGUUUUUUGUUUAGGAUUGGCCGUCAGCAUUUUGUUAUUGCCCUUUUAGGUAGUGAAAAGUCUACCUCAACUAUUAAGGUCCCUUUUUGUACAAGACGGGACGAGAGAAUAGGGUGGUGGCAUGACACCAUGUAUAUUUCAGUGACUACCUGUCUUUCAUUUGUAUUCAAAACUUUUUUUUUUUCCUUCACAACACAAUUGCCUAUGCAAUAUAAAAAGGACACCUGUGGAAGCAUCACAUUUCGUAUUCAAAGAGAUGAUUUUUUAUAUGCCAUUGCCAACCAAGUACACUGAAGACCUCAUAGCAGAGAAGUGUCAUUUGAUAUUUUAUGCCAUAGUACAAAGUAUUUUAUGAUGUAUUAGUUUUUACAAGGCUUUUUGCUAGUUGCCACGUCAGUUUUUGUGUUUGUAGGAGUAAGGCUUAAAGAGUUUUAUUGAUGUGUAUUCCAGUUUUUAUCUUUUUUUUUUUCUUGUAUGUGAUGUAUAUAUAUCUCUAUAUAUAUAUGCUUAAUGGUGUUGGCUCUUCUGUGUACAUAGCUCCAAGAUUUCUGUUUUACCCUAUGGAUUGAAAUAUAUAUAUAUAUAAAUACAAUAUACAUAUAGAAAUUAUCUAUAAUCUAUUAUAUUAAUGGCUUCCUUUCAUGUUACAAUGCCAUUGAGAUUUAUUGGUUACUUCAUAGUCUUUUAAUUAUCAGUUUUAAAAUGCAGAGUAUAUCAUACCAAUGGAUGUAAAUUACGAAAAAAAACAAGGAAAUCCAUAGGGUUAAUAAAUUCAUCUUUUUAUUUUAUUUUCCAUAGAAUAGCUGAACAUGUAAAGGGAUGACAUGGGUUGGUUAAUAUAACAUGUGAGGAUUUUUACGUGCAAGAUGUAAAUGUGGAUUUUACACAGCUUGGCCUUAGAGAGCAAAUUUGGCAUCAGGUCCGAAUUUGCUCUGAAGGUCUACUAAACCACUUUCAUGUUUACUUUUUUUUUCUGUUUUAACAUUCAUGUGACCCUUGCCCCAGAGUUAUCUUGACAUGUUCAAAGUUUUUGUACAGAUAAUGAUAGACUUCUGUGUGUAUAAGUCACCGCCUAUUGAUUUUAAGUAACAAUUUUAUAACUGACUUACUGUACUCUUCUCUAGACAUCGCUGUACUUGUCUGUCAUUAUGGUUUAGCGUAAUAGAUCGUGCAUGAAUGAAA